UUAAAAUAGAAAGUUAUCAUUUGUUUUUUAUUAGACAUGAAUCCGUAAUUGAAUUGUGAUGAAUACAGAUAUGUCGGCUGACCAAAAUCCAACGAAUCUAAAUUUAUAUAAUUGCCAAAAUGUUAUCAUUGGUGAUAACAACAAAGUUAACUUACAAAGUGAUGAGGUGCAAGGUAUGUUUACGAUUUUCACAGAAUUGUGACAUAAAAAACUCAAUAAAUAAGAUUUAUUAUAUUAGACAUGUAUACGUGUAAUGUUAAAAUAGUUCAAUUAUAGUAAAAGGAGGAUCAAUAAUAAAAAAUACAUGUCCACUGUGUAUGUAAAAAUACAAACAUACCAAAACUACUUUUUCAGGAGAGGAUUUGUGAGGGGAGGGGGGAGCUUGUUAGCCAUUGUUUGCCAAGUUCAAUAUCCAUCUACAAAAGUCUCGCAUCUUGUCAACAAGAUGUGUUCACAACAGCCUUGAAGUUGUCACAAUGAUGUUAGUUGGUCAAGUUGCUACAAGAUUGUCGCUCUCAACUUGUUGACAAAUUGUUAAAUUACAGGACGAUAACAAGUUGUUGAAACAGCUUGUAAUAAGGCUGUUGAAUCCACAAUCUUGUAACAAGUUGUUUAGCAAGCCGUUGACAACUUGUCAACAAGAUGGGGACAAACAGUACGAACAAAUCCCGAGAACGAGUUGUUCAAAUAGGUGACCUCUGCAGGCAUAUUGUAUUUCACCUGGGUUGCUUUUAAUUUUUUUUGCUUGAAACCAAUCACUGGUCAGUGGUGCCUGCACUGUGUUUGCACCAAACCAAAUAUAAAUAUUGAUUCGCUGUGUAGGCGAGAAUUACAUAGUAAACAUAGUCAUAGUUCCAUAACGUUUUGUAUAUAGUAUAAGUAUGUUAACGCAUGCUAUUGUAGAUUUGCAUGUUAUUUUGUAACAUAUAUGUAUUGAAGUUGAAAUUUAUAAUGCAGGACCCCACCGAAAAACACUUCGGUGACGUAUGUAUCCUGGAUAAAUAUAAAUAUAAUAAUAAUUCUAGGGCUUGUUUCAAACGUCGCGCUUCUCAUGUGCGGAACGCAUUAAAAACAAUAGAUAAUCAGCUGAAAUGCCUCAUUAUCUAUUGUUUCCAAUGCGUUCGGCACAUGAGAAGCGCGACGUUUGAAACAGGUCUAAUAAGACGCUUUUGAUUAAAUGUUCUCACGCAACAUUAAAUUAGCAGCACAGGACACUGUUGAGGAAAAUGUUUUCAUUUGUCUUGUAAUUGCCAUUGUUAUAUGCGGUAUUUGUUUAUUUGGUAAUGUACAUGCACUUGGCCGAUGUAUACGGUGGCUCACGAGGGACAUCACAUAAAAUUAAAGAUCAAACACAAAUAAAUUAAAAAUAUAAAAUAAAUUAAUAAAAGUCAUACGCUUUCUUUUUUGUGUGCGUUCAUCUUCAUUUUUGUUAUGUGUGUGUCCCAUAUUUUUCUUUACAUAUUCCUUUUUUUUAAUUUGCACGUACAGUUUAAUAGUUUUAUUUGUGAUGGUUCUUUAAAUAUGAUUUUAUUUUUGUAUUUAUUUGUGUUCUUCUAUUUUUAUGCAGUGUCUCUUGUGAACCAUGGUAUACAUGGACAUUUCUUAGCACUUUCUAUUGAAUAUUUAUGUUAUUUCAGUGAUGCAUUGUUUUAUUGUCAAAGUUGUUUUAUUUAACUUCUUUAAUAUUUAGAAAAUCUUCCUGCAAAAGAUGACCAAAAACCUGAAAAGGUA